CCCUUAGAUGUCCUGGGCUGCACGCGCGCUACACUGAUGUGUCCAGUAAGCACCUAACCUAUUCCGAUAGGAGCGGGUAACCUUAGCAAAGCACAUCGUGAUGGGGAUAGAUUAUUGCAAUUAUUAGUCUUGAACGAGGAAUUCCUAGUAAGCACAAGUCAUCAGCUUGUGUUGAUUACGUCCCUGCCCUUUGUACACACCGCCCGUCGCUCCUACCGAUUGAAUGUUCCGGUGAGCUCUUCGGACUGCGCGGUCUGCAGUUUCUGCGUUCCGUGCGGAAAGUUGUGCAAACCUUAACAUUUAGAGGAAGGAGAAGUCGUAACA
rnacentral:rRNA from 1 species